rnacentral:rRNA from 1 species
AUUGAACGCUGGCGGCAGGCUUAACACAUGCAAGUCGAGCGAGCGGCGGACGGGUGAGUAAUGUCUGGGAAACUGCCUGAUGGAGGGGGAUAACUACUGGAAACGGGAGCUAAUACCGCAUACCAUCAGAUGUACCCAUAUGGGAUUAGCUAGUAGGUGGGGUAAUGGCUCACCUAGGCGACGAUCCCUAGCGUGUCUGAGAGGAUUACCAUCCUCACUUGAACUGUGACACGGCCCAGACUCCUACUGGAGGCAGCAUUGGGGUAUCUUGCACAAUUGGCGUAAGCCUGAUGCACCCUUGCAGCGUGUGUGAAGAAGGCCUUCGGGUUGUAAAGCACUUUCAGCGAGGAGGCGUUACUCGCAGAAGAAGCACCGGCUAACUCCGUGCCAGCAGCCGCGGUAAUAC